rnacentral:rRNA from 1 species
UACAGAGGUCUCGAGCGUUAGGCGGACUCACUGGGCUUAAAGCGUGUGUAGGCGGAUUGGUCAGUACUUUGUGAAAUCCCACGGCUUAACCGUGGAACUGCUUGGUAUACUGCCAGUCUUGAGCCAGCUAGGGGCUACCGGAACAAAUGGUGGAGCGGUGAAAUGCGUAGAUAUCAUUUGGAACGCCAAUGGUGAAAACAGGUAGCUGGGGCUGUGCUGACGCUGAGACACGAAAGCCAGGGGAGCAAACGGG